UCAGACGAUGCGUCAUGCAUAUCAAUAAGCGGAGGAAAAGAAACUAACAAGGAUUCCCCUAGUAACGGCGAGUGAAGCGGGAAGAGCUCAAAUUUGAAAUCUUAAAGGGUUUCCCUUUACGAAUUGUAGUUUAAAGAAGUGUUUUCUGUUGAGGUUUUGGUAAAAGUUCUUUGGAAUAGGACAUCAUAGAGGGUGAGAAUCCCGUAUUUGGUACCUUUACUUUCAACUUUGUGAUACACUUUCAAAGAGUCGGAUUGUUUGGGAAUGCAGUCCAAAAUGGGUGGUAAAUUUCAUCUAAAGCUAAAUAUUGGCGAGAGACCGAUAGCGAACAAGUACCGUGAGGGAAAGAUGAAAAGAACUUUGAAAAGAGAGUUAAACAGUACGUGAAAUUGUCAAAAGGGAAGCGUUUGACACCAGUGUUGUUUUUCUGAAAAUCAAUUAAAGAACUGUUUAUGCUUAGACUUUAUCAGCUAACUGUUUAGUUUUGAGCUUUUCUUUAAUGCACUUUUCAGUUAACAAGUCAACAUCAAUUUCUUUUGCUGUAAAAAGCUUGAGGAAGGUGGCUUGAGAUUCGUCUUAAGUGUUUAUAGCCUCUUGCCUAUGCAGUCGGAGAGAUUGAGGUCUGCAGCGUAGAUCCUUCGGGGCUAAAUGCAUUUGUGCUAAGUUAUAGCAUUUUAUAGACAACUUGUUGACUAUGAUUUGUCUUGUAGCUUACUCGCUUAUGUUAUUUUACCUACGCUUAGGAUGUUGAUCUACAGAGCGAGAGU
rnacentral:rRNA from 1 species